rnacentral:tRNA from 1 species
AGUGCUGUACGCAAAUGGCUUAAGCGGCUUGACUUUCAAUCAGGUGAUUUGCGGGUUCAAAUCCCGUCAGCACUAUCA